rnacentral:lncRNA from 1 species
CUCUCUCUCUCCCUCAGCAUUCACCACAGUUUGAAAGCACACACUUACUUGAGUGGCCAUUUGCUGUCUGGUUCUCCGCCUGGACCAUAAACCCAGGGUGGCAGGGGCUGUAGCCAGGACAAUGGGACAAUGCCUGACUAGCAGCAGGGCCAGUGGAUAACUGAUGAACUAAGGAGGAGGAGCUCAAAGGAGGAUGAGCACAGGGCAAGCCAGCAUCACCAGGAAGGGCUUCCCAGGCCUUCCAGUUGUUCAGUCACCUGGUUACCUAACGAUCAAAGCUUCACAAGGCCAAUUACCAGUAUGACCUCUAGUUCCUCAACUACAGAACAAGAAGUUUGCACUAGUUGCUUCUCUAAAGCUCCUUCCAGCCCUGAAAUUCCCACUCGAUGAAAUGGGACCUGACUCGUUUCCUGGGAGAUGGGCAGGACUGGGCAGGGCAGAAGGAAGAGCAUCCUAGUGGCAGAAAGGCUGGGCAAGGCCAGCGGGUGAAGAGUGCCAGGAAGUCUGGGGAGGUGACGUCCACACCCCCAGCCACAAGGACGCUCCACGGAAAGUGAACAGGAAGGGAAGUGGGGUUGGAGCAGAAAGGACCCUGGAAGCCAGGGGCUCCCCUACCCGCCUCGCCCUUCAGCCCCAUCCCCUGCACCUUGCCUGGCAAACCUCCCCUGUCUUCCUCACCCCCAGCCUUAGCACUCGCCACUCCCUCUGCCUGGGACUAGCCUCCCCACACCCUGACUGCUCAUAUCACAACCCAGAGGGCAUCAGGGCUGCUCUCACCUCCCCUGAGGAGUCUGGGGAGACGUGCCGGGGUCCCUCCCCGGAGCACCAAUGCACCUGAGUGCAUCCCACCACGGAGUUGCCUGCUCACCCCGUCCCUACCCCCAGACCAUGAGCCCCUUAAGGGCGAGGGCUUCGCCCAUGGUCUUUGUUUCCCAGCCCUUGAUGCAGAGCCAGUGCCCAGUGCUCUGAAAUCACUGCUGAACAUAGGCGUGGAAAGGGAGGGCCUUGGUGGGGGGGAUCUUAAGCAAGGUGACAGCCACUCUGCAGCAGAAUGGGCCUGGCCUGAGGGCAGGAGAGUGGGGGCUGCCACACCUCCUCUUGGAGCAGGUUACCGGGGUGGGAGCAGCAGAGGUCCAGAGGCACAGGCUGGGGACCCACACAGGAGCUGCCCACCCUGGGCUCUCAGGCCCUUUUCUCCAGGCAAGUUCCUAAAGAGCCUACCUUUCCCCCCAAGCCCGCAUAGCAUCUCUGUUGGGUCCCCUAAAAGAGCCUGCUGUGAGAGCCAUGCCCUCCUGGACAGGAGGAGCAGUGAAGCACUGGUGAUUAGCACUUAUCAAGGAGGGCAGGCAGCUCAGGAGGAUGCGAUAAGGCCAGGCCAUGGGCCCAGGGAGGUGUGAUGAAGCCCAAGGUCUAUUGCCAUGCGCCAGUGGAAUUUCCUGACCCAGCAAAUGCAAUAUUCCCAAACGCUCUGUGGAGGGCCUGACUGGCAGGGACGGCCCUCUCUGACCCAUGUGAGCCUGAGCCAGCCCACGUGGCUGGGACCCUCCCCCUCCAAUGAGCCCGGAACCACUGUAGGGAGAGCAGCAGGCACACAGCACUUGGAGAUGCUCUAAGUAAGACGGAGAACGGACCGUGGCCGGGAUCCAACCUGCUCUGAAGCCACAGGGGAGGGGAGCCUACACACACUCCCCCUCCCCCAGCUGAAGAGAAUGAGAGGAGCAGGGCUGAGAGGUGGGGAGGAUGUCUCCAUUGGGUGGAAUUGGGCUGUCUGAGGAUGCUCAGGCCUCACAGUGCAUGAAGCCACGUGUGGUCUCUGAGCCCCUGGCCGCUCUGUAACGUGAGGCGGCAGCAGCACCUGGCCACCACCCUGUUCAUCCUCCCUUCCCUCUGCCCACCUCAGGCUGACCCACAUCCAGGCACUGACAUUCAGGGGCCUCCCGCUGAGGGGGCCUCAGAGAAGCAUCUGGUCCAUCCUAGACCCAGAGGUAUCUUUCUUCCCUCAAAAGUACCUCAAGUGCAAACAGUCACAACCGCACACUUUGGUCUGCUGUGCAGGCUACCAGAACCCCAAGUUUUUUGCACAGUCUCUCUCAGGCUGCUCUGGCAGAGGUCGUUCCUGCUAUGACCCAGUCACAUACAAUGUGGACCCAGACUUGCUCAACAUCUGCCCAGGAUCCAGACAGCACAAGAUGGCACACACAACCCUGAAGGCAGAGGCUCCUGCCCACACAGCUCUGCUCCCACGCACUUGGGUCUCCCUCCUGGGGAGCCUUAACCCCCGACCCCCACGGCACAUGAUGGUGCCAUGCUGCCCCACCAGCCAGCUCGAAACCUUCUCUGGCUCCCUAGGGAUUUGAGACAAAUACUCAAGCUUGGUGUUGAGACCUCCUGCACCGUGUUUUGUCAGCUUGUUUCCCAAGAGUCCCUGACCUGUGUGUGCUCACUCCUGGCACCAGAGCACCCCCCUGCUUCCUCUGUGCACCCCCACUUCCCUGCUUCUAUCCUCUGGCUCCACACUGCCUUCCACCCACCCACCUCUGCCUUCAGAGGAUGGUUUAAGGCUCAUCUCAGAUGCCACGCUUGUAUCAUGGUUGUUUGCAUAAAAGUCCUCCUACAAUAAGCCCCUGAGGGGAGGAACUCACUGUGUUCCUCCUGCAGCACCCGGCCUAGCUUGAUCUGUGGUGGUUGCACAAGAAAUCCAAAGGGAAAUUAACAGAACCUGUCAUGCCACACACACAGCCCCCAAGCCUUACCCGCCUUUACCACACGCACUCACCUCAGCCCAUGUAUGGGACACCCCACCACCCCCCCAGCCUGUCUGGCAGGUUCUCACCCUGCUAGACCACCACCAUUUGUCCUGGCCCUGGAGGCCCUCCCUGGGGUCACCAGCCAGCUCCGGUCACCUCCUGAACCCCGGGAAGCUCAGAUGUCCAGCCUGGAGCUCAGAGAAUGUGGCUGGGCUCCACGAGGCCCAAGGCAUCUGGGUGACUGAGUGUCACUCAUGCCCCAAACUCCAGCCCCAAGGGGCACUUCCAGAUCCCAGUUGGGCCAGGUGCCAGGGCACACCUGCUCUUCCCCUCCCCCACGCCGCUGCCAGAGGAAAUGCCAGCCUGCAGCCUCGGCCAGGCAGGACGGACACAGCAGGGACAGCACUGAGCACUGGCACUGCCCCUCCCAUGCCCCACCCCGCAUCCUCCAGGGAUGCCUGUGCUACCUGUGACCCCCACCUGCUCCUAGCUGACACCACAAGGCCCAUGUUCACACUGCAGGGAAACAGGCAGAAAGAAGAACCGAGGCCCAAACCCAGCUCUGACACUUACAUCUGCGUGACCUGGACUAGACUCACAGCUCUCGGAGCAGCGCAUAUUUUUUGGAGCCAACAAACAAAUGAAUGAAUGAGUGAGCCCACUUCCGUGUCCUCAUCUGCAGAGUGGGGUUAUGGAUGAUUAUGGGGGAUGGAGAGGCACUGCUGGCAAAGAACUUUAUCAGACAGUCUACACCUGAGAACCUUCCUUGCAUGCACACACUCCAACGAGCCAGCACAUCCAUACACAGACAAAGGGCACUGACACUGAUCGCAGUCACCGAAGACUCCCUGAGCAUCCACUGCAGGGAUGACCGAGGAGCUAGUGCCCACCCGGGGAAGAGCCUCAAACUGAAAGCGCAGCGUGAGCACAAACCAGAGUGGGCAGCAUGAACUAAGGGCAGGGUGGCCUGGCCCAUCUGGGAAGGCCUCUUGGAGGAGGUGGAGGUGCAUUAUCACCUCCACUGGAGGAGGAACACAGAUAUGGGUGCCAAUGGGAGAAGGCAGAGGCCCCACCCCUCAAAACCCUGGUCCAGGCAGAGUGCGGAUAAAAGCCAGUGGUGGGCUGUACAUGUUUAACAGCCAGCUCUCCAGGGGAAAAACUGAUUUGUCAUGCUUGCCACUUUCCAUGGUGUAAAUACUCCCAUCAUGGCCAACCUCAAGCUACCAACGGCUUAACAACUAACUGGCAGGAGUUCCCGUCGUGGCGCAGUGGUUAACGAAUCCGACUAGGAACCAUGAGGUUGCAGGUUCGAUCCCUGGCCUUGCUCAGUGGGUUAAGGAUCCGGCGUUGUCAUGAGCUGUGGUGUAGGUCGCAGACACGGCUCAGAUCCUGCAUUGCUGUGGUGUAGACCAGCAGUUGCAGCUCCGAUUCAACCCCAGCUUGGGAACUUCCAUACGCCACAAGCACAGCCCUAAAAAGAAAACAAAAGAAAAGAAAAGAAAAAAAA